ACGUAGGGGGCGAGCGUUGUCCGGAUUUAUUGGGCGUAAAGGGCACGUAGGCGGUUUCUUAAGUUUGAAGUGACAGUGGGUGGCUUAACUACCCAAGGCCUUUGAAAACUGGGGAACUUGAGGACCAGAGAGGGACAUAGUAUUCCGGGUGGAGUGGUGAAAUGCGUAGAUAUCCGGAGGAAUACCAAAGGCGAAGGCAGUGUCCUGGAGGGUGACUGACGCUGAGGCGCGAAAGCUAGGGGAGCGAACAGGA
rnacentral:rRNA from 1 species